UUGGUCAAUUCAUCCCCGUUAUCCACAACGCUCAACUCCACCCUCAUAUCCAUAGCAGCGAAAGCAAUCCUCUCAGCUCUGAAUCAGUAACGGCCAUGGCAAUGGCGACCUCUAUCUCCGCUAUCACCUCAUCCUUAUCUUCGCUAUCCUUUUCCUCCCAAAUAUCGCACACUUCUCUUCCGCCAAAGUCUAUCUCCUUGAAAUUUUCCGCCCCCAAAUUCCCCACCUUCAUCGUUGCCUCCUCCGCUGCCGUCGCUGAACCCGGAGUGGAGAAGCAGGAUUUGGAGAAGCUGGUGAAAUCGAGGCUUCCUGGUGGAUUCGCCGCUCAGACUAUCAUCGGCACCGGCCGCAGGAAGAGCGCUAUUGCUAGGGUUGUUCUGCAGGAAGGCACCGGCAAAAUCAUCAUCAAUUAUCGCGACGCUCAGGAAUACCUUCAAGGCAAUCCUUUGUGGCUGCAGUAUGUCAAGACUCCUCUGGUGACAUUAGGAUAUGAGAGUAGCUACGAUGUCUUUGUAAAAGCACAUGGUGGCGGCCUAUCCGGGCAGGCCCAAGCCAUAUGUCUUGGCGUUGCUCGAGCCUUGCUCAAGGUCAGCGACAGCCAUAGAUCGCCUCUGAAGCAGGAAGGCCUCCUCACCCGGGACUCCAGAGUAGUUGAGAGGAAGAAGCCUGGGCUAAGGAAAGCUAGAAAGCGCCCACAGUUCUCAAAGCGUUAAGUACUAUCUCAAGGCCCGAGAAAAUGUAUAAAGCCCGCCUAGGCCGGCAUGCUAACUCAAAAUCUGGGAAAACACUAACCCACCAAUUUUGGAGGCGCUGGCCAUCGGACUGUGUUCGGCUACCUUCUCCGGCGUCGUGUGGAGUUUAGUGACUCCGGGGACUGUGUUCGGCUACCUUCUCCGGCGUCGUGUGGAGUUCAGUGACUCCGGGACCGUUCCUCCCAACGGCCGCGCGUCGGACCUUCUCCCCUGAUGGAUUUAUUGUUCUAAGCCUCUUCUUGUUGAUAUUCAUAUCUAAGCUUCUUCGUUCUCCUGGUUCUUACUCAAUUUCAGUUUAUUUUUUGCUCAAAAUAGGUCAAAGGGUGCUCUGCUCUAAUUUACUGGAAUUUUGGUAGAAUUUUGGUAAUAGUUCAUUCCAUUUUUGUGAUGGUUGAAUGUGUUCAUCUUGCUCGAAUUGAGACACUGAUGAUAGAGCUGAGCUUCUUCCCCAA